rnacentral:rRNA from 1 species
AUUGAACGCUGGCGGCAGGCCUAACACAUGCAAGUCGAGCGGAUGAAGGGAGCUUGCUCCUGGAUUCAGCGGCGGACGGGUGAGUAAUGCCUAGGAAUCUGCCUGGUAGUGGGGGAUAACGUCCGGAAACGGGCGCUAAUACCGCAUACGUCCUGAGGGAGAAAGUGGGGGAUCUUCGGACCUCACGCUAUCAGAUGAGCCUAGGUCGGAUUAGCUAGUUGGUGGGGUAAAGGCCUACCAAGGCGACGAUCCGUAACUGGUCUGAGAGGAUGAUCAGUCACACUGGAACUGGGACACGGUCCAGACUCCUUCGGGAGGCAGCAGUGGGGAAUAUUGGACAAUGGGCGAAAGCCUGAUCCAGCCAUGCCGCGUGUGUGAAGAAGGUCUUCGGAUUGUAAAGCACUUUAAGUUGGGAGGAAGGGCAGUAAGUUAAUACCUUGCUGUUUUGACGUUACCAACAGAAUAAGCACCGGCUAACUUCGUG